AGUUUACAUUGUGAAUGUUGACAUUGGUGCAGCCUGUUUGGAUGGAGACACAAUCGUCACCUGUUGUAAGAGAAGCCAAAGAUGUAAUUUAGCAGGCCCUCUCAUCCAGUGCAGAAUCUGUCUCUUAGUCGGAUCAAAGGAUGAAUUCCAUCAGUGUUUAGGCUGUCGCCAGGAGAAGAGAUGGUGAUGUCGUGAACAAAAACUGCUUCACAGCUAUCAAAUUUGAGGUGGCACUGCGGACUGUUCUGGAUUGUUAUACCAGUCACUGUUACAUUAUAACUCCCGUAGAAUCUCAGAGCCUGCAACAAAAUUUCAGCAGAAUAAGUCACGACAGAAUAAGUUAUGACAGGAUAAGUUUAACAGGCUAGACUUACUGUUGGUUUUAUCUGUGGCAUCUUUUCACUUAGCUCAUCGGUUAUCUGCUCACAAAUCAACCCAUGUAAACAUUGUAAGUUCAUUAUUUACUUUUCUAAUGAAAUUUGAUUCUUAAAAUUACAGAAUUA